rnacentral:rRNA from 1 species
UACGAAGGGGACUAGCGUUGUUCGGAAUUACUGGGCGUAAAGCGCACGUAGGCGGAUUUGUUAGUCAGGGGUGAAAUCCCGGGGCUCAACCUCGGAACUGCCUUUGAUACUGCAAGUCUCGAGUCCGAUAGAGGUGGGUGGAAUUCCUAGUGUAGAGGUGAAAUUCGUAGAUAUUGGGAAGAACACCGGUGGCGAAGGCGGCUCUCUGGACCGAUACUGACGCUGAGGCGCGAAAGCGUGGGGAGCAAACAGG